rnacentral:sRNA from 1 species
UCAAGAGGCUGUGAGGCAGCUCAGCGUCUCCAUUAGAAUUCAGAGUAUUCCACGGUAAUUACAAAACAGCUGUAAUGGAAAAUUGGUAGUCAAACCCAUUUUCCAGCGACUAGAACGGUGAAUGGGCUCCAUUAUGUUCCUAAUUCUCAUUAACUUAAUUUGCAUAGGAAACAAUGAAGGAAUACAUAAUGAAGUACAGUGGGCCAGCAGCCCAGCCCUCACCCCCACAAUGCUGGGUUCAACUUGCACUGACCCACCCCACAGAGAGGGAGAAACCCAGGGCUCCCUGUGGACUGGACCUCCCCCAGGUGACCUGAAGCUGCCCUGAUGGAGCACAAUGGAGGGAUACCACUUGUCUGUAACUUGUUCAGGAUCCCUUUGCCUCAGCACACACCAUGUAAACCCUGAUUCUUCUCCACACCCCUGCUUUGGGGAAGGCUGAAGAACUGGAGCAGAAGGAAAAAGAACUUGUUUUUAGCUCUUCAGGUGCCAUAACUCUGCAUCCCAGAGAGAAAACAAACACCUGCUUGAGAAGCAGUAUUGUUGGUCCCUGUGUAAGAAACAACCAGACGACCCUCCAGAUACAAACACCUUCUCUUCCCUGCAGCCAGCACCACCCUCACAGUUUGGAGCCACAGCCUACCAUGUAUGCAGACAAUAGGAAACAGCAAUGCCUUUGUGCUUCAGGGAGAAGAGGAGAAGGGCAGGAGAGUAAAUGUGGUCGUGACGAAACACAAACCAUGCAAUGCCAUGCACAUCUUUUUCCUGUUGGAUAUCGGGAUGUAUUUGGCUCAAUAUCUAGUGCACGCACAGUAUCAGGCUCACAAAAAUAUGGAGAACUAACUGGAUACCUGAGAAGAGAAGAAGGGAAAGAAGAAGACUGGAGAUGCAAAUGCAUAGAGAACCUGGAGGCAGAAACUAGAGCAGAGGCCAUGGAGGAGCCAUACUACUGACUUACUCCCAGAUUCACACCUCUCAAGACCACCUGCCUAGAGAUAGCACAGCUCACAGUGAGCUGGGCACUCCCCCAUCAAUCAGCAAUCAAGAAAAGACCCUGAAGACAUGUCUACAAGCCAAUCCAAUGGGGGAAAAUUUUCAACUGGGGUUCACACAUCCAAAUGUGACAAGUUGACCACAAGGUGAGUUAGUCAUCACAGAUGUGAAAUCACUUUGUCAUAGCAUCAUUUUUUUUUCUAUCUCAAGAGGAACUGUAGGUUUUUCCUAUUUCAACGUCUCAAUGGAAGAAUGACUGUCUUGAACAUUAAAUUUGGACUUGAUCUUGCUUUCAGCCGCAGACUUCCUGAGAUGUUACAGCCAUAAUAAACAAACCUCCCUCCUGAUGCCCCAGUUCAGAAUUCCACAUGUGGAAGAGAUUAUUUCAUAGGCGACAUGGCGAAGAAUGAGGUAGCAUCUGAACAAUAAAGGUCUCAGAUCUAAUUUUCUGAACCCUACAAUAAGGUUGAUAACUGAGUGGCGGUUAGCAAUGCACCUUAGACUGAUUUGGCUUCUCUUUCCUCUUAGAACCCUGGGCACACCCAGUGGUAUCCAGAUCUCUCUAGGUAUGAGAUAGUUGAGACCCCAGACUGGGAUUGUAUUAGCCUACAUAAGUAGCUCUGGGUGUCUUGACCUUUCACAGUUACCAGAAUCAUCUGGACACGAUGUUGCAAAUCCCAGUAACUGGACCAGACCCUCCCUAGGUUUGUUAAUUUCAGAUGGCUAGUUUGUAGACUUAGCCAUAAUUAUUUUUGCUAAACUUCUGGCUAUCUCCAUCGUAACGAAUACCAGGAGUCACUGUUCUCCAUGAACCACAAAGGAAGAUCAUGUCUACAUGGAUUACCUAGUUCCAUCAUGUAAUAUUGCCUGAGUGAGUGAUCACAGAGACUUCGGUCUAAUACCACAAAGAGAAGAAUCUCCCAGAGUCCCCUGCGUAGAUGCCCUAGAACAAGGACUUAUGAAGAAUCAGUACUGCAUCCAGAGAAGACAGUGCAGUCCUGAAGCCAGAGCUUGGACACAGAGUCAAACUGAGGGCUGUGAAAUGUCAAGCUGCCAGGCAAAAUCUAAGGACCCCAGGCGAAGAGACGGUUUACCUGUAUUCAGAGCGAACCUUCCAAGCGCAGUGAAACCUUUCUGGAGACACCCUCACGGACAAUCACAAAAGUGUCUUUCUUAGUGAUUCCAAAUGUACUAAAGCUGACAAGAAAGAUCAUCCCGUCACACUGGGUUUGCUUCCAGUCUGCUCAGAGAAGGAUUUCCAAGUUUCUCCAGCUGUACUGAGGGGGAAGCUUGGUUCUGGAGCUAAGGAAGUUCAUCAUUUGGUAAAGAUCUUUCUGCAUUGUCACAUGUCGGAAGACAAAUGCCUGAGAGACAGAGAUCACACAAAUCAGUUCUUUUAUCAGGAACCCAUUCUGAGUUUAAUGAGCCUGAGAAUUUUCCUCCAGAGAACGUUUCCCAGAAUAUUACACAGCUUUGGAAACAAAUACCAGCUCCAGUUGUAUGGCCUGAAAACAUCAGUGUGGUCCUAAAGGAAACAAAUCCACCCUAAGGGAGUAUGAUAAGAACCCAACACAACUGUCUUGAGAGGCUUCAUCCAGACGCUGAUGGAAAUAAAUGUAGAGACCCACAGCCAAAACAUUAGACAGAGCAUGAGGAGUCUUGUGGAAGAGUCGGGGACAGGAUUGAGGGAUCCAGAGAGAUCAAGGCUACCACAAGAAGACCUACAGAGUCAACUAAGCUGGGCCCAUGGGGCUUCACAAAGACUGAACCACCAACCAAAAACCAUGUGUUUCUAUGUUUUCAUCAUUAUUUUCAUGAUAAUGCUAGAAGGAAACGUUGUUCUCAUGCCUCUAUAUAUGAAGGCAACCCAAAAGACAUGUGUCAACCUCUACAGCAGCAAGGAAAGGUUGGGAGUGGGAGGCCUCUCAAUACUUUCUGCUUCUCCAAGUGGCCAAACUCACCGGCAGAUCUUGCUGCAGCAAUGACAAGAAAGGUGCUUCCUGGUGAAGUCCUGGAUGAAGCCUAUGGAGAAGGGAAGGCUGCUGAGAACAUCCUGCCACCUCCCACAAUGCACCAAAAAAAGAAGCCUUGGUCUUUAAUGCCAGUCCUAAUUGAGUGGAUGGACCCCAUAGGGAAAGAAGCCUCACCAGAAAUUGGCCAUGUGAAACAGAACUGAGAAUGGAGAAAAUUGCUUCCAGUUCCAGGUAGAGAGACCAAGACAACAUGAUUGGCAAGUGGGAUAUAUGGAAGAGGUCACUAGAGUUCAAGGUCCUUCAUACUCAUGUGAGAGAAAAAGAAAAAGGAAAUGAUGCAAAGAAGAAAUCAAAAGUCCACUGAGUUCAGUCACCCAUAAGAAACAUGAGGUAAGUGACCCAGAGGUUGAGGGGACCUGGGGCUCUAUAACUGAAUGCUGAUCAACCCUCAGGAGAAGAACUGUAGAAAGCAAUGGAGAGGUAGAGAAAGGUAGAAAAGCAGAUAUUUCUGUAGCACUUACCUGUGUAGCACUGACUCUGGGUAGUCUCUAAGUAGAACUGACGGCAUUGCAAACACAAUAAGCAGUUCUAGACAAACUGGAAUAGCAAUCAGUUUGGGAGCCUGGGAGUAGUCACACUUUUGCUGUUGUCAACGCUUUCAGUGGCUUUAAUUUUCAGUGGUAAGCACAACUUCUAUAUAGUGUUGUCAAAAUUGCAAUGAAGUUAUGUCAUUGAAUAUUAAAGGCCCAACCCAUGGAGUGCCAACACAUAGAUUUGAAUUUCAUGCUUGCCCCUAAACAUCAAGAUAAAUAUGUCUAAUUUUAUAAAAACCUGGCCAACCCCAUGGAGGCUGACAAUUACAUCUAUUGUUACCCAAGUAUGCUAGAAUAAAACCUGGCUCUGAUCAAUGUGUGAGAGCAAAAAUUGGAGGGAAGGGGGGAAAGGAAAAAAAACACAAGAAUCAUCAUAGAGGCAGUUCAAAUUGGCUACCUGUGUUUGUAAUCUCCUUGUCAAAUACACUGAUUAAUGGGACAUUUGAUUUCAGAAGGAUGGGGCCUACAUUUAAUGAACAAUUUUGAAAAAUCACACUGAUAGGUUAUGGGGUGAAUAUUGGGAAACUUGAAAAAUAUAAGACUAAAGGAAGGGAUAAAAAAAACAGACCUGUAAGAGCUCCUAUUACAAGCCAGGCACUUGGGCUCCAUCCUGAAGGCAGUAGCAGCCCCAGCAGGAUUCUAAGCACGAGUGAGGUCAUACUUGUUUCUUAGAAAAAUUACUUUGUCUUCAAAGUAAAAAUUGGAUCAAGGCAGUAAAGCUGGAAAUACAUAGAACAGUAAAGGAUCAAAUGUCUCGUGAGUCCCUGAACUGGGGCAACGAUUAAGGAAACAAAACAUGCCCAGCUUUGAGAGGUAAGAGAUCAGUAUGCCUGUCACUGCUUUGAAUGAUAGGGUAAGGAAAAAGGAGUGGUAAGGGAAGUCAAUUAGAUUUCUGGGUGUGACGGGAGUAUAGUCAGUAAGUAACUCAUGAUUCUGAAGUAUUAAUGUACACUAUAUUAAUUCCAGAUUUUCAAUGUACUGUAAGGCAUGUUAAUUAUGAUAAGGGGAGCCUUAGAUGCUCAUCCUAAGUCAAUUGAGUGAAGAGUCCACUCAUCUAAUCAAUGUAUCACUGUGGUGAUCUGAAGCCCUGGGUGAAUGAGUAAGGAGUAGAUGGAGUCCUGCGUGAAUGUGUGCUGUUGGUAUGAUGUCAAGGACCCCAGAUCCAUGGAAAUUGAAGGCCUUCCCCUAGUUAGACUCGGGGAAAGAGCAAAGCCAAUUUCUGGUCUGAAUGAAUGCUAGCAGUGUAUGCAGAAUGCACACUAAUAAAUCCUGGGUUGUGCAGUUGGUACCUCCCAUCAGUGCUAGCACAGCUGACAUGAGCCUCCCUUCUCUACAUGUGUAUGUCAUUUCUUCAGAGUGUUAUGUCUUUACCCCUAAGUCUCCCAUGUCAGGUUUCCAGAAUCAAGCUGUGCAACACAGCACAUGAUGUGAUAGAGAGCUCAAUAGAAAAAGACAGUGACAAAGUCUAAUUUAUAAUUUAGUCCAAUUUGUGAUUUAGACAAAGUCCAAAGUUAGGAAUUGAAUUAGAAGAAGAGCACAGGGAGACCAGAGAAAGACAAGAAAGGUGGUUUGGAAGAAAGAAGGAGAGUGCAUCAAAAGUAGGAUGCUGGAGGUCACAGGGGCAAAGAAACGAAAGCUAAACUACUAGGGAGCUAGAUGUAAAACCCUAACCCAGGGCAGCCCUGUGGUCCUGGGAAGACAGAUGUGGCAUGGGUAGCCUCUUCCUGAGGCUGGGGUAAUUAGCUCUUGACUGAGUCCUAGUAUUUAUGACCUCAUUUCUCCUUUUCUCUUUCUCCAAUUUUCUCAUUUCUCUCAUUCAAGAUGCAAGAUUCUUGCCUCCUUAAUGAAACAUCUCUUGUCCUACAUUACUCUUCUUGGACCUAACUUUCUACCAUACAGAGUUUGAAUCAUGUCCCAUCUAAGCCCGGAAUCACAUGAAUUACCUGUCUGGUUUUCUUCUUCAUGGGUCCAUGUGGCAUAAAUAAAAGAACUGAUAUGGUUUGGAGCCAAUCAGACCUUAAAAUACAAAAUCUCCUAUGGUCCUGAAGCUGCCAUUGCUCCAAACAUCUCACCCCAUCUCACUCUAGCCACACUGUACUCAUCUUGAUCAUUCAAACACACCACACCUCCAGAUCAAUUUGCCGAUGAACCAUGAGUAUGAACAUAUGUCACAAGCAAGAAAAGCCAGCAAAAAGUAUAAUCAACCCCUUGUGUAUGGGCCUAUGAUAGCCUGUGCUCUAGAUUGUAGAUCCCAGAUAGACUACCUUGCCUUAAUCUAUAUACCUAAAUGCAGUGUACUCCAGUUGCUUGGCAAAUUUCCUGGACCUACAACUGAUACUAAGAAUAUAAAAAAUAAAGCUGCAUAGUGUUGAACAACUGACAUCUGGAUAUCUUUUGUUCCUGCCUUGUAUAGCCAUUUCUGAUAAACAUAGAGGCCAGAAGGCUCUGAAACUAGAGAACAAUGAGAAAUCUACAAAU